GUGAACGAUUAAGGGCGCGCGGUGGAUGCCUAGGCUCUCGGAGGCGAAGAAGGACGCGAUAAGCCGCGAUAGUCCACGGCGAGGUGCAAGUAACCCUUGACCCGUGGGUUUCCGAAUGGGGCAACCCGGCCGUCUAGAUGACGGUCAUGCAUUAUCAUGCAGGCGAACGCGGGGAACUGAAACAUCUCAUUACCCGCAGGAGAAGAAAACAAAAUGUGAUUCCCCCAGUAGUGGCGAGCGAACGGGGAAGAGCCCAAACCGCUGCCGUUUCGGCGACAGCGGGGUCAUGGGACCGCGAGAUUCGACGGAAGACGAAGUGCAAUUACCUGGAAAGGUAAGCCGUGGAGGGUGACAGCCCCGUGCACGACACCUCUUUCUUAGAUAGCGGUAUCCCGAGUAGGGCGGGACACGAGAAAUCCUGCCUGAAUUCGCCAGGACCUCCUGGCAAGGCUAAAUACUCCCGAGAGACCGAUAGUGAACCAGUACCGCGAGGGAAAGGUGAAAAGUACCCCGAGCAGGGGGGUGAAAUAGACCCUGAACCCGCGCGCCUACAAGCGGUCGGAGCCGAGUAAUUCGGUGACGGCGUGCCUUUUGCAUAAUGAGCCUACGAGUUAGUCGUCACCAGCGAGGUUAAGGGCUUCAGGCCCGUCAGCCGAAGUGAAAGCGAGCCUUAACAGGGCGUGAAGUUGGUGGCGCUAGACGCGAAACCUUGUGAUCUACCCACGAGCAGGUUGAAGUCGCGGUAACACGUGAUGGAGGACCGAACCGGUAAACGUUGAAAAGUUUUCGGAUGACUCGCGGGUAGGGGUGAAAGGCCAAUCAAACUGGGAAAUAGCUCGUACUCUCCGAAAUGCAUUUCGGUGCAGCCUGUGAUGUUCUGUUCCAGAGGUAGAGCUACUGGUUGGACGCGAGGGCUUCACCGCCUAUCAAAUCCGGAUAAACUCCGAAUGCUGGAACACGAAAUCAUGGAGUGAGCCCGCGGGUGCUAAGGUCCGCGGACGAGAGGGAAAGAACCCGGACCACCGGCUAAGGUCCCGGAUGGACAGUUAAGUUGAUCAAACGAGGUGGGAUCGCGGAGACAGCUAGGAUGUUGGCUUGGAAGCAGCCAUUCAUUUAAAGAGUGCGUAACAGCUCACUAGUCGAGCGAUCCCGCGUGGAUAAUACACGGGCAUAAGUCCGUUGCCGAAGCCGUGGGAUGCCACACAAGUGGCAUCGGUAGGGGAGCAUUCCGCGGGCCGCAGAAGGUGGGGCGUGAGCCCUGCUGGAGGCAGCGGAAAAGCAAAUGUAGGAAUAAGUAACGACAAAGGGGGCGGGAAACCCCCUCGCCGUAAGACCAAGGGUUCCUGAUCAACGCUAAUCGGAUCAGGGUAAGCCGGGGCCUAAGUGGCAGCCGCGAGGCGAACACGAUGGACAAACGGUAAAGAUUCCGUUGCCCCUGCGGUCAAGUGAUGUGGAGACGGAGCAGUGACACACCCGCGCGCUGACGGAAUAGCGCGUUGAACCGUGUAGCUAAACGCCGGGGAGGCAAAUCCCCCCGGAGUGGCGAGGCGGGACAGUACGGCGAGCCCCCGGGCAAGCCGACAGCGGUGGUAACCAUACUCCCGAGAAAAUCCGCUAAGCGUUAUAAAGACCGCAGGGCCCGUACCGCAAACCGACACAGGUGGUCGGGUAGAAUAUACCAAGGCGCUCGAGAGAUUCACGGUUAAGGAACUAGGCAAAUUGACCCCGUAACUUCGGGAUAAGGGGUCCCCACUUUAUGGUGGGGCGCAGAGAAUAGGUCCAGGCAACUGUUUAACAAAAACACAGGGCUGUGCAAAGUUGAAAGAUGAAGCAUACAGCCUGACACCUGCCCGGUGCCGGAAGGUUAAGAGGAGGCGUCAUCGCAAGAGAAGCGCUGAAUUGAAGCCCCGGUAAACGGCGGCCGUAACUAUAACGGUCCUAAGGUAGCGAAAUUCCUUGUCGGGUAAGUUCC
rnacentral:rRNA from 1 species